rnacentral:lncRNA from 1 species
UAAAAUGCCUCCUAGAUCCUAACCUUCAAAAGUAUGCCAUCUCAACCAUAACAAUCUUAGCAUGCUUUUCGAAGACAACGCAGGCAUUGGUACCACAUUACAUGAUUGGUGAGCUCCCCAAAAGGCAAUUAAUCCCAAAUGCUCAUGACACCUUAAUUCUAUCAACUAAAAAUUACUUCAAAAUAGCGUUUGGAAAUCGUGGAAUGACUUGCAACUAUGUCUAAAAACAAAGUUCAAAAUGUGACAAGGAAUCCAUCAACUUUAAAUACAAUGCUUCAAAAAUUAACCACGUCAUCCCAACCCGAAAGAAUUAUCACAUAUAGGAUUUGCCAAACCAAUCUGAACCACCUGAACUGAACCGAUAUGGAAACUAGGUCAGUUUUGCUUAUCGGUUCGGGACUUGAUAUGAAUUACCCAAACCACUCCAAACGAAGCGGAACUGCAUAAUUCUGCUUAGCACGACUUGUUUUGAGUCAGUUCCGGCCAUCCUGUGACAAAAACGAGAGAAGGCCAUGGGAUGCCAUUCCCCCCUCUUUUCUUAAAACUCCAUGAAGAAAAUGGUGGAUUUUA